AUUUCAAAGGUUGGCAUAAAAUAAAAAAAGAAAAAGAAAAGAAAAAAAAUAGAAAAAGAAAAGAAAGAAGGAGGAAAAUUCAUGUUAUUAUCGUAUUCCAUUUGAAAGAAAAAAGGGAGGAAAAGAAAUAAAGAGAAGAGAAUGGAUGCAAAGUUAUUGCAAGUGAAUGAAAUACUGAUUGGUUCAACUCUCACAAUCCCUUUCAAUUCUCCUUUGUUCUUUUAAAUUUUAGCCUAACACCCCUUUGGAUUUAUCUCACCCUUACCUUAG
rnacentral:lncRNA from 1 species